GAAAAUAACUGUUGGUUUAUCACUUUGCUUCUAAGAGUCGCGUUAUUUUGAUUUACUUGGUCUUCAUUUCACUCUUCACUUUAGUCUAUUUCAUUAUGUUUAAUUUAUCAUCUCAAAGUUUCUUUGCUAUUAACAAUCUUUUCAAGGUUCACCAUCAUUACUCAGAAGGAAACACAUCUCCACCCUGAAACAUGGAUUGAAGUUAAAAUACAACUAUCAUUUCAGUGUACAAUGAUUAAUCUGCUGGUUAUUUUCAUAUUUCUGCUGCAUCUAGCUGGCUGUUGCUCUGUCAAAUUGAUGAAUUAGAAAGAUGCUAAAUUUUUUAUUAACUGUUGGUGUUUUAGUCUCUUGGAUGUAAACCCAUUGGGAUAAAUGGUGCCUUUUGCCCUUUAACCUGGCUUUCAUUGGAGUAAAUGGAUGAUAUCUAAGCUGAAAAAAAUGAAUUUUCAUGUUCCAAUUGAAACAUCAAUCACAAAAAUUGAGCUUGAAAGUAAAUAGUUUCCCUGUCCCGAUGAUUUUACUAGGAAAGUACCUAACUCAGUGGAAGUCUCAAUCAAGUUAUCUAGUUUUUUUUCCUUUAACUACAAAGGCAACCAAAAAAUGGAGCCAAAUUAAUGAGUUAAUAGUCACUAAAUACAGGCUUUUCAGAAACAAAUCUGGAUCUCAAAACUCUAUUGGAAAAGGCAAUUAGAAACAAUUGACCAGAACUUCAAUUGAACUUCAAACAGCAUCAAUAACUUUCCGUUACAAAUGAACUUGUCGAUUAUAAAAUUCACAGGAAAUUUUUGACCAAAAUAAGCAUUAUGUUACUCUUGUCUUUGAAGUUGAAAAUCAGCUUUCAAAUUUAAAAGGUAAAUUAAUGAAAAUUGAAGAUUCAUUAGUUUGAAAAUAACAGAUCAACAGUUACAUCUUUAAUAAAUGAAAACAUUCAUCAGAGAAAUAGGUUUAUAUUAGGGUGUUCGAUAAUGUGUUGACCUCAGUAUGAAAAAUAAAUUAUUUUUUCGAACUAAA